GUGUUCAAUGGCCGCGGUGUGUGUGUGUGUGGUGAGUGGUGAGGCAAGCGACGCGCCACAAGUAAACAAGUGCAGCCUCCAGUCAGCUGACAAGGGCUCGGCGUGACCUGCAACAACCACAAAAUCCUCGUGAGUGAGCCAGUGAGUAGCAGGAUGUCUGGGGAGGGAGAGCAGAAAGCAGCUGGCAGUGGUGGUGGUGGUGGUGGUGUGGAGGAAGUCCCUGACCCUGAGCUGGACAGUCUGCUGGACGAUGCCUUGCAAGACUUUGUUCAACCUAAGGCCCCAAACCCCAGCCAGGGCCCCACAGUCCCUGCCUCGGCUCCCCUUGGCACUGACCUUGCCUCCCUGGUGACAGCAGCGGGCAUCACUGCAGCAGUGGGUGGUCCAGGUGGUCAGGAAGUACAAGGCAAGCAAGGAGAAAUGUGGACAGAGGAGUUUGUGCAGCAGGCCACAGCACAGUUUGAGCAGACCAUGCGGUUACUCAUGCAGCAGCAGCAGCAGCAACAGGAAGGGAAAGAGAGCCCAGCGGUGGCAGCAACAGCCGCCACCACCCAAGCCUCCAGCACUCCAGCACAGCCUUCAGCUGGGGCACCUGAAGUUGACCUCUCCUCCAUGGCUGCCCAGUUUGCCCAGUUUGCUCAGAUGGCUACCAAGUCAGCAGAAGAGGCAAAGUCUGAUUCAGACUUUACCCAAUGCCUGGCGGACACCCUCAAGCAGAUCGGAGACAACAAUGAGCAGCUUCAGAAUCCUCCAAGUGCAGAUGACCUGACCAAGAUGUUUGAGAAUAUGGGGCUGGGUGGGGGCGAUGCAGCUGGGGGUGAAGGAGGACUGGGCGCAUUGUUCCCACUGAUGCAGGCAAUGCUGGAGAAUGUGCUGUCCAAGGAGGUGCUGUACUCUCCCAUGAAGGACAUCACAGACAAGUACCCUGACUGGCUAGCAGACAACCGCGCCAGCCUGCCGGAGGAGGACUUCACGCGCUACAGCAAGCAGUAUGACAUCAUGAAGCAGGUGGUUGACUUGUAUGAGCAGGAGACUGAGGGAGACUCGGAGGAGGUGCGAGGACAGCGGUUUGAGAAGAUCAUGUUGUCAAUGCAGAAGCUGCAGGAGCUGGGUCAGCCUCCCAAGGACCUGGUGGGUGACAUGGGGCCAGUCAUGUCUUUUGAUCCGUCCGGCAAUCCCGUCUUGCCUGACCUGUCCUCGGUGCUGGGGGCUGCUGGGGUGGUGCCUGGGGCAGGUGGGGAAGGCAGUGCUCCGCCUGGUCAAGGACAGCAGGGGGAAGAGUGCAGCAUCAUGUGAUCCCCACCACCACUGCCACCCCUCCUGACCCCACCCCCCAUCACCACAGCCAGGCCUGCACCAGUGCUUUCCAGAACUGGUACAGCUCCCCAGUGGAAUUGCUUGGUAAAAUUAGUUCAUCGUAUGUUCAGUUCAGCAAGGUGAAGCACUCAAUAGUUGGAAUCCUGUUGUGUUCCUGUGAUGGCAUUGUUCUGAAGGGUUGGUGCAAAGACACAGGUUUCUUUCCUAAAUGCUCCUGAUAGGCUCAACUCAGGAGCUUAAGACUCUGUACAUAGUGUGAAAUAAACUUGGAAGCUUU
rnacentral:misc_RNA from 1 species